rnacentral:rRNA from 1 species
GACGAACGCUGGCGGCGUGCUUAACACAUGCAAGUCGAACGGAAAGGCCCUGCUUUUGUGGGGUGCUCGAGUGGCGAACGGGUGAGUAACACGUGAGUAACCUGCCCUUGACUUUGGUAUAACUUCAGGAAACUGGGGCUAAUACCGGAUAGGAGCUCCUGCUGCAUGGUGGGGGUUGGAACGUUUCGGCGGUUGGGGAUGGACUCGCGGCUUAUCAGCUUGUUGGUGGGGUAGUGGCUUACCAAGGCUUUGACGGGUAGCCGGCAUGAGAGGGUGACCGGCCACAAUGGGACUAAGAUACGGCGCAGACGCCUACGGGAGGCAGCAGUGGGGAAUAUUGCACAAUGGGCGGAAGCCUGAUGAAGCAACGCCGCGUGCGGGAUGACGGCCUUCGGGUUGUAAACCGCUGUAGCCUGUGACGAAGCGUGAGUGACGGUAAUGGGUAAAGAAGCACCGGCUAACUACGUG